rnacentral:rRNA from 1 species
GACGAACGCUGGCGGCGUGCUUAACACAUGCAAGUCGAACGAAGUGGCGAACGGGUGAGUAACGCGUAAUCAACCUGCCCUUCAGAGGGGGACAACAGUUGGAAACGACUGCUAAUACCGCAUACUGAAGGAGGGGUUUGUGUCUGCUUGGCUAGUGGGAGGGGUAACGGCCAACCAAGGCGAUGAUCAGUAGCCGGUCGGAGAGGAUGAGCGGCACAAGUGGGACUGGGACACGGCCCAGACUCCUACGGGAGGCAGCAGGGGGGAAUCUGCCGCAAUGGACGGAAGUCUGACGGAGCAACGCCGCGUGAGUGAUGACGGCCUUCGGGUUGUAAAGCUCUGUUAAUCGGGACGCGGUACCGGAAUAGAAAGCCACGGCUAACUACGUGCCAGCAGCCGCGGUAAUAC